rnacentral:rRNA from 1 species
GAGGAAUAUUGGGCAAUGGACGCAAGUCUGACCCAGCAACGCCGCGUGGAGGAUGAAAGCCGUAAGGUUGUAAACUCCUUUUGAAGGGGACGAAAACUCAAGUUUCGUAAGGGACUUGAUCUGACGGUACCCUUAGAAGAAGCCCCGGCUAACUACGUGCCAGCAGCCGCGGUAAUACGUAGGGGGCUAGCGUUGUCCGGAUUUACUGGGUGUAAAGGGCGCGUAGGCGGGUUUGUAAGUCAGUGGUGAAAUCCUGCGGCUUAACCGUAGAACUGCCAUUGAUACUGCAAAUCUUGAGUUCGGAAGAGAGUAGCGGAAUUCCAGGUGUAGUGGUGAAAUACGUAGAUAUCUGGAAGAACACCAGUGGCGAAGGCGGCUACUUGGUCCGUAACUGACGCUGAGGCGCGAAAGCGUGGGGAUCAAAC